rnacentral:rRNA from 1 species
GAUUAACGCGAAGAACCUUACCAGCGUUUGACAUGCCAGGACGGUUUCCAGAGAUGGAUUCCUUCCCUUACGGGACCUGGACACAGGUGCUGCAUGGCUGUCGUCAGCUCGUGUCGUGAGAUGUUGGGUUAAGUCCCGCAACGAGCGCAACCCUCGCCUUUAGUCGCCACCAUUUAGUUGGGCACUCUAAAGAAACUGCCGGUGAUAAGCCGGAGGAAGGUGGGGAUGACGUCAAGUCCUCAUGGCCCCUACGCGCUGGGCUACACACGUGCUACAAUGGCGGUGACAACGGGCAGCAAACUCGCGAGAGUGAGCAAAUCCCAAAAAGCCGUCUCAGUUCGGGUUGUUCUCUGCAACUCGAGAGCAUGAAGGCGGAAUCGCUAGUAAUCGCGGAUCAGCACGCCGCGGUGAAUACGUUCCCGGGCCUUGUACACCCGAAUCACUAGU